rnacentral:rRNA from 1 species
CCCUGCCAUUUGUACACACCGCCCGUCGCUCCUACCGAUUGAAUGUUAAGGCGAACACUCCGGAAUCGUGGCCUUGAUUGGGCAACCUUUCAUGGCCAAUCGAUGAAGUUGUGUAAGCCUUGACAUUU